CUACGGGGGGCAGCAGGCGAGAAAACUUUGCAAUGUGCGAAAACACGACAAGGUUAAUCCGAGUGGUUUCUGCUAAAGGAACCUUUUGACAGUCCUAGAAACACUGUUGAAUAAGGGGUGGGCAAGUUCUGGUGUCAGCCGCCGCGGUAAAACCAGCACCUCAAGUGGUCAGGAUGAUUAUUGGGCCUAAAGCAUCCGUAGCCGGCUCUGUAAGUUUUCGGUUAAAUCUGUACGCUCAACGUACAGGCUGCCGGGAAUACUGCAGAGCUAGGGAGUGGGAGAGGUAGACGGUACUCGGUAGGAUGGGGUAAAAUCCUUUGAUCUAUUGAUGACCACCUGUGGCGAAGGCGGUCUACCAGAACACGUCCGACGGUGAGGGAUGAAAGCUGGGGGAGCAAACCGGAUUAGAUACCCGUGUAGUC
rnacentral:rRNA from 1 species